AGAUUGAACGCUGGCGGCAGGCCUAACACAUGCAAGUCGAGCGGUAGAGAGGUGCUUGCACCUCUUGAGAGCGGCGGACGGGUGAGUAAAGCCUAGGAAUCUGCCUGGUAGGUGGGGGAUAACGCUCGGAAACGGACGCUAAUACCGCAU
rnacentral:rRNA from 1 species